GAGUUUGAUCCUGGCUCAGAUUGAACGCUGGCGGCAGGCCUAACACAUGCAAGUCGAGCGGCAGCGGGAAGAUAGUUUACUAUCUUUGCCGGCGAGCGGCGGACGGGUGAGUAAUGCCUAGGGAUCUGCCCAGUCGAGGGGGAUAACAGUUGGAAACGACUGCUAAUACCGCAUACGCCCUACGGGGGAAAGGAGGGGACCUUCGGGCCUUCCGCGAUUGGAUGAACCUAGGUGGGAUUAGCUAGUUGGUGAGGUAAUGGCUCACCAAGGCGACGAUCCCUAGCUGUUCUGAGAGGAUGAUCAGCCACACUGGGACUGAGACACGGCCCAGACUCCUACGGGAGGCAGCAGUGGGGAAUAUUGCACAAUGGGGGAAACCCUGAUGCAGCCAUGCCGCGUGUGUGAAGAAGGCCUUCGGGUUGUAAAGCACCUUCAGUAGGGAGGAAAGGUAGCAGCUUAAUACGCUGUUGCUGUGACGUUACCUACAGAAGAAGGACCGGCUAACUCCGUGCCAGCAGCCGCGGUAAUACGGAGGGUCCGAGCGUUAAUCGGAAUUACUGGGCGUAAAGCGUGCGCAGGCGGUUUGUUAAGCGAGAUGUGAAAGCCCCGGGCUCAACCUGGGAAUUGCAUUUCGAACUGGCGAACUAGAGUCUUGUAGAGGGGGGUAGAAUUCCAGGUGUAGCGGUGAAAUGCGUAGAGAUCUGGAGGAAUACCGGUGGCGAAGGCGGCCCCCUGGACAAAGACUGACGCUCAG
rnacentral:rRNA from 1 species